rnacentral:misc_RNA from 1 species
AACUUUUGGCAACGGAUCUCUUGGUUCCGGCAUCGAUGAAGAACGCAGCGAAAUGCGAUAGCUAAUGUGAAUUGCAGAAUUCAGUGAAUCAUCGAGUCUUUGAACGCACAUUGCGCCCCCUGGUAUUCCGGGGGGCAUGCCUGUCCGAGCGUCAUUGCUGCCCUCAAGCACGGCUUGUGUGUUGGGCUCCGUCCCCCCGGGGACGGGCCCGAAAGGCAGCGGCGGCACCGAGUCCGGUCCUCGAGCGUAUGGGGCUUUGUCACCCGCUCUGUAGGCCCGGCCGGCGCCAGCCGACAACCCAUCAUCCUUUUCAGGUUGACCUCGGAUCAGGUAGGGAUACCAGCUGACCUUAAGCAAAUCAAUAAGAGGAGGCU